UAUUGACACAAAGGAUACACCUGUUCCCAUUCCGAACACAGAAGUUAAGCUCUCUAGCGCUGAUGGUACUUGGUGGGAAACUGCCUGGGAGAUAGGUCUGGGGUUCGAGUC
rnacentral:rRNA from 1 species